CUACGGGUCGCUCCAGUGAGGAAUAUUGCACAAUGGGGGGAACCCUGAUGCAGCAACGCCGCGUGGAGGAUGACGCAUUUCGGUGUGUAAACUCCUCUUAUAUGUCAAGAAAAUGACGGUAGCAUAUGAAUAAGCACCGGCUAACUCCGUGCCAGCAGCCGCGGUAAUACGGAGGGUGCAAGCGUUACUCGGAAUCACUGGGGGUAAAGGACGCGUAGGCGGGUUGGAAAGUCAGGUGUGAAAUCCUACAGCUUAACUGUAGAACUGCACUUGAAACUUCUAAUCUAGAGUAUGGGAGGGGGAGAUGGAGUUAGUGGUGUAGGGGUAAAAUCCGUAGAUAUCACUAGGAAUACCUAAAGCGAAGGCGAUCUCCUGGAACAUUACUGACGCUAAGGCGUGAAAGCGUGGGGAGCAAACAGGAUUAGAUACCCGCGUAGUC
rnacentral:rRNA from 1 species